AUACGUAGGUGGCGAGCGUUGUCCGGAAUUACUGGGUGUAAAGGGCGUGUAGGCGGGGAUGUAAGUCAGAUGUGAAAUACCAUGGCUCAACCGUGGGGCUGCAUCUGAAACUACAUUUCUUGAGUGCUGGAGAGGAAAGCGGAAUUCCCAGUGUAGCGGUGAAAUGCGUAGAUAUUGGGAGGAACACCAGUGGCGAAGGCGGCUUUCUGGACAGUAACUGACGCUGAGGCGCGAAAGCGUGGGGAGCAAACAGGAUUAGAUACCCUGGUAGUCCACGCCGUAAACGAUGGAUACUAGGUGUAGGAGGUAUCGACCCCUUCUGUGCCGGAGUUAACACAAUAAGUAUCCCACCUGGGGAGUACGGCCGCAAGGUUGAA
rnacentral:rRNA from 1 species